GUGAUGAUGUGUAAGCCAGGCAUCGGAUUUCGUCAGCUUUUUGGAAACUAGCAUUUGCCUCUGCUGCUUGAUAUACGAAGCCACAAAGGAUGACUGUUGCAGAACAGUGUAGUAUGGCUUGUCAAAUAAAUCAAUAUCAUUACUCAAACUUGAUUUCCUUCCAAGCGUGCCCAUUCUGUGCAGCCUCCCCUCGUGGCAUGAAGUUGGAACCCCAAUUGAGUCAAUUGAGUCAAUAAAAUCAACACAACUCGAUCACCUCCUCUGUUUUAUU
rnacentral:lncRNA from 1 species